rnacentral:rRNA from 1 species
GAUUUCCGAGUUAGUGGCGGACGGGUGAGUAACGCGUGGAUAACCUGCCGUAUGCAGGGGGAUAACAGUUGGAAACAGCUGCUAAUACCGCAUAAGCGCACAGUACCGCAUGGUACGGUGUGAAAAGAUUUAUCGGCAUACGAUGGAUCCGCGUCCGAUUAGCCAGUUGGCGGGGUAACGGCCCACCAAAGCGACGAUCGGUAGCCGGCCUGAGAGGGCGGACGGCCACAUUGGGACUGAGACACGGCCCAAACUCCUACGGGAGGCAGCAGUGGGGAAUAUUGCACAAUGGGGGAAACCCUGAUGCAGCGACGCCGCGUGAGUGAAGAAGUAUCUCGGUAUGUAAAGCUCUAUCAGCAGGGAAGAAAAUGACGGUACCUGACUAAGAAGCCCCGGCUAACUAC